rnacentral:rRNA from 1 species
UGCUACGGCCACACCACCCUGAACACGCCCGAUCUCGUCCGAUCUCGGAAGCUAAGCAGGGUCGGGCCUGGUUAGUACUUGGAUGGGAGACCGCCUGGGAAUACCAGGUGCUGUAAGUU